rnacentral:rRNA from 1 species
CCAGACUCCUACGGGAGGCAGCAGUGAGGAAUAUUGGUCAAUGGCCGAGAGGCUGAACCAGCCAAGUCGCGUGAGGGAAGACGGCCCUACGGGUUGUAAACCUCUUUUGUCGGGGAGCAAAGCGAACCACGUGUGGUUCAUUGAGAGUACCCGAAGAAAAAGCAUCGGCUAACUCCGUGCCAGCAGCCGCGGUAAUACGGAGGAUGCGAGCGUUAUCCGGAUUCACUGGGUGUAAAGGGAGCGUAGACGGCCGUGCAAGCCAGGAGUGAAAGCCCGGGGCCCAACCCCGGGACUGCUCUUGGAACUGUGCGGCUGGAGUGCGGGAGGGGCAGGCGGAAUUCCUGGUGUAGCGGUGAAAUGCGUAGAUAUCAGGAGGAACACCGGCGGCGAAGGCGGCCUGCUGGACCGCGACUGACGUUGAGGCUCGAAAGCGUGGGGAGCGAACAGGAUUAGAUACCCGUGUA